rnacentral:rRNA from 1 species
GUGGGGAAUCUUGCGCAAUGGGCGAAAGCCUGACGCAGCCAUGUCGCGUGAAUGAUGAAGGUCUUAGGAUUGUAAAAUUCUUUCACCGGGGACGAUAAUGACGGUACCCGGAGAAGAAGCUCCGGCUAACUUCGUGCCAGCAGCCGCGGUAAUACGAAGGGGGCUAGCGUUGCUCGGAAUUACUGGGCGUAAAGGGCGCGUAGGCGGACAGCUUAGUCAGAGGUGAAAGCCCAGGGCUCAACCUUGGAAUUGCCUUUGAUACUGGCUGUCUUGAGUUUGGGAGAGGUGAGUGGAACUCCGAGUGUAGAGGUGAAAUUCGUAGAUAUUCGGAAGAACACCAGUGGCGAAGGCGACUCACUGGCCCAAUACUGACGCUGAGGCGCGAAAGCGUGGGGAGCAAACAGGAUUAGAUACCCCGGUAGUCC